AUUUUUUUUUUUUCGUCUGCUCAAAUUUGGUUCUGAAAUUUUGAGAUUUUGAGAUUUAAGUUUUGUUAUCUUAAAAUUUUAGAUCUGCAAAAUCAAUUUUAAUUAAAGUAAAAUUUUGAAAAUUUUGAGAUUGAACCAAUUUGGAGAUUUUUUGCAUGAAACCCAUUUGAGCAUCCAUGAAAAAUUACCGGUGAGGAUUAAUGGCCACCCCGCUGAGUAAAUGGGUAUACCCAUCAGCAAGAAGGUGACCGGCACUCCUCAUGGCUGGUAUGGUGG
rnacentral:misc_RNA from 1 species